rnacentral:rRNA from 1 species
AUUGAACGCUAGCGGCAGGCUUUACACAUGCAAGUCGAGCGAGCGGCGGACGGGUGCGUAAUGUAUCGGGACCUGCCUGGUGGCGGGGGAUAACUACUGGAAACAGUAGCUAAUACCGCAUACCCUUAGAUGAACCGAUAUCGGAUUAGCUUGUUGGUUGGGUAACGGCUCACCAAGGCGACGAUCCCUAGCUGGUUUGAGAGGAUGAUCAGCCACACUGGGACUGAGACACGGCCCAGACUCCUACGGGAGGCAGCAGUGGGGAAUAUUGCACAAUGGGCGCAAGCCUGAUCCAGCCAUGCCGCGUGUAUGAAGAAGGCCUUCGGGUUGUAAAGUACUUUUGGCCGGGAGGCGUUAUCUACAGAAGAAGCACCGGCUAACUACGUGCCAGCAGCCGCGGUAAUAC